AAUACCACAAGCUUUAUAUAUAUAUGUGUGUGUGUGUGUGUGUGUGUGUGUGUGUGUGUGUCUAUACACACACACAUACACACACCUGUAU
rnacentral:miRNA from 1 species